AAUGGGCGCAAGCCUGAUCCAGCCAUGCCGCGUGAGUGAUGAAGGCCCUAGGGUCGUAAAGCUCUUUCGCCUGUGAAGAUAAUGACGGUAGCAGGUAAAGAAACCCCGGCUAACUCCGUGCCAGCAGCCGCGGUAAUACGGAGGGGGUUAGCGUUGUUCGGAAUUACUGGGCGUAAAGCGCGCGCAGGCGGAUUAGUCAGUCAGAGGUGAAAUCCCAGGGCUCAACCCCGGAACUGCCUUUGAUACUGCUAGUCUUGAGUUCGAGAGAGGUAAGUGGAAUUCCGAGUGUAGAGGUGAAAUUCGUAGAUAUUCGGAGGAACACCAGUGGCGAAGGCGGCUUACUGGCUCGAUACUGACGCUGAGGUGCGAAAGUGUGGGGAGCAAACAGGAUU
rnacentral:rRNA from 1 species